UCCGGUGGCCAUAGCGGAGGGGAAACACCCGUUCCCAUUCCGAAUACGGAAGUUAAGCCCUCCAGCGCCGAUGGUACUGCAUGGGUAGCCGUGUGGGAGAGUAGGUCACCGCCGGGA
rnacentral:rRNA from 1 species